rnacentral:rRNA from 1 species
UACGUGAGGCGCAAGCGUUAUCCGGAAUUAUUGGGCGUAAAGAGCUCGUAGGCGGUUUGUCGCGUCUGCCGUGAAAAUCCGGGGCUCAACCCCGGACUUGCAGUGGGUACGGGCAGACUAGAGUGUGGUAGGGGAGACUGGAAUUCCUGGUGUAGCGGUGAAAUGCGCAGAUAUCAGGAGGAACACCGAUGGCGAAGGCAGGUCUCUGGGCCACUACUGACGCUGAGAAGCGAAAGCAUGGGGAGCGAACAGG